rnacentral:lncRNA from 1 species
GUCAGAGGAUGGAGAUGGCAAAUCAGUGUACCCUGACUGGUCCCUUCAGCUGGAGGGAUGAAGAGGCAAGGGUCAAGAUGCCACAGAGAAAGUGAAGCGGCAGGAUGCAGUGGAAGAGAGGGAACUGUGUUGAUGUACAGAGAGCACUUUGGUGGCCUUCAGCAGUGCUGGUGACCCUUGAAAAAAGCAUCAUAUCCAGAUGUCCACCAUGAUGACCACAUAUACCAGAAGAAUAAUAGGACCAGUCGCUUCUGUUGACCUUACAGAAAGCCCUUGGACGGAAGUCCACACUCACUGCCAUCCCUAUUGUGGUACCGCGCAGCCCCGAUCCCAGGACUGAGAUGGAUAUGGUACCAUUCACAGAAGAAGUGUGCUCUGGGAUGAAAGAGCAUGAAGUGCAGGUUGCCCCCUGCAGCUCCAGUUCAGGGAGACCCAUAGCAGCCCUUGGCUCUCUGGACAAGUUGCCGGAAAGUGAGAUUCCAGAAGAGGAGGAGGAGGGAAUAGAAGAGCCAGCACCGGCCACCAGCAGUGUGAGUGCAGAGCACCAGCACUGUGAUGAGGAGGAAGACAUCCUUCAGGCCUCCCAAGGUAAAGAGCACAAGACUUCCCCCACUGCCUGUGAGGCUGGUGACAACCAGCAGCCUCCGGUGCCACUGCAGCCCAGGUGGAUGAGGCUGAGGCGCCUUCUCCACAGGCCCUGGAAGAUCAGAAUCACCUGGAUUUUGAAGAUGCCCUGGAGCCAGUGGCCACCAGGUUUGCCACUGAAAGUUUCACAUGUUUGA